CCCAUCCUUUUGGUUGGGAAGCCAGCACAGGUGGUGCAUGGCUGUCGUCAGCUCGUGCCGUGAGGUGUCGGGUUAAGUCCCUUAACGAGCGCAACCCUUGCCCCUAGUUGCCAGCGGGUAAUGCCGGGCACUCUAGGGGGACUGCCGCUUUAAGGCGGAGGAAGGAGGGGAUGACGUCAAGUCAUCACGCCCCUUAUGCCCUGGGCUACACACGCGCUACAAUGGCUGGGACAACGGGACGCGACUCCGCGAGGAGGAGCAAAUCCCUAAAACCCAGCCCCAGUUCGGAUUGCAGGCUGCAACUCGCCUGCAUGAAGCCGGAAUUGCUAGUAAUCGCGGAUCAGCCACGCCGCGGUGAAUACGUUCUCAGCCCUUGUACACACCGCCCGUCACAUCACCCGAGUUGAGCGCACCCGAAGAUACCCAACUAACCGGUUUCUGCCGGGGGGAGGGUAUUGAAGGUGUGCUUGGCAAGGGGGGUGAAGUCGUAACAAGGCAGCCGUACCGGAAGGUGCGGCUGGAUCACCUCCUUUC
rnacentral:rRNA from 1 species